rnacentral:tRNA from 1 species
GGUAAAAUGGCUGAUGUUAAGGUGAUAAAUUGUAAAUUUAUUUAUGAAUUAAAAUUCUUUUACCA